GCCCCUGGUGGAUUAGGUUGCCAGAUUGCUCGGGAUUGGUCCAUGAAAUGAAUGGAUUAGUUUGCCCAGGACUAUCCCCAAAACAGUUUGGCCAUCAAUUAAGCUGCCCACUUGUUCGUCCAAAUUCGAUUGGGUUUCUCGGGAUUAUUGAGGCAGUCCGGCAAACCGAAAGAGAUGAAUUCGUUGGAAGCGUAGUAAAAAAGACAAAGCGAGUGGAAUGGCCGAGGAUAAAAUGAUAGCUUGUUAUGAAUGAGAAGUGUGAAUGAGAUUGUUGUGAAAGGAAUACCAAUCAAGGUAUAUAUACAUAUUGGUUAAUUUAAAUGGUUCUCACAUAAAUGUGUUCAGCCAAAAAUAAAGUUCUU
ensembl:ncRNA lncRNA:CR45884 long non-coding RNA:CR45884